CAUGGAGUUUGGGCUGGGCUGGGUGUUCCCGGUUCCUCUUUUAAAAGGUGUCCAGUGUGACAUGCAGCUGGUGGAGUCUGGGGGAGACCUGGUGAAGCCUGGGGGGUCCCUGAGACUCACCUGUGUAGCCUCUGGAUUCACCUUCAGUAGCUAUGGAAUGAUCUGGGUCUGCCAGGCUCUAGGGAAGGGGCUGCAGUGGGUCGCAUAUAUUACUUAUGGAGGUAGCACAUACUACGCAGACUCUGUGAAGAGCCGAUUCACCAUCUCCAGACACAACGCCAAGAACACGCUGUAUCUGCAGAUGAACAUGAGGGUCGAGGACAUGGCCACAUAUUACUGUUAG